rnacentral:tRNA from 1 species
GUCGUUGUGGCCGAGUGGUUAAGGCGACAUUCUAGAAAUCUCUGCCCGCACAGGUUCGAAUCCUGUCGGCGAUG